rnacentral:rRNA from 1 species
GAUGAACGCUGGCGGCGCGCCUAACACAUGCAAGUCGAACGAUUAAAGCACCUUCGGGUGUGUAUAAAGUGGCGAACGGCUGAGUAACACGUGGGCAACCUGCCCCUUUCAUUGGGAUAGCCACGGGAAACCGUGGAUAAUACCGAAUACUUCGAGACUUCCGCAUGGAAGACUCGAGAAAGCUCCGGCGGAGAGGGAUGGGCCCGCGGCCUGUUAGCUUGUUGGUGGGGUAACGGCCUACCAAGGCAAUGAUGGGUAGCUGGGUUGAGAGACCGACCAGCCAGAUUGGGACUGAGACACGGCCCAGACUCCUACGGGAGGCAGCAGUGGGGAAUCUUGCACAAUGGGCGAAAGCCUGAUGCAGCGACGCCGCGUGCGGGAUGAAGGCCUUCGGGUUGUAAACCGCUUGCAGCAGGGACGAGGCGAAAGUGACGGUACCUGCAGAAGAAGCCCCGGCUAACUACG